GUAAAGAGGGCGUUUUACGGAGAGCAGCACAGCUUGGCGAAGGCCUGCACAGACAGUGCUGGUCUGUCCUCCAGGACUUUUCCAUCUAAUAUCCCUCUGAUCCUCAUAAAACCAUAGGUUGGUGCUGUGGAACCCAAAAGGCAAAGGACUUUGUGUUUCUUUUUCUUAGAAAGCAGGAGCCUCUGGCAAAAAAAGGUAAACUCCAACGACCCUGCAGCACGGUUCAGCACCCCAGGACACUUUGUGUGCUAAAGAUAAUCCUCAGAGAGCGCUGAGUCCAUAAAGCAGAUUUUUCAAGCACUGCAGAUGCCAGCCAUGGGAACAGAAGAAUGGAGAGAACUCCAGAGGCCUGGCAUGGAAGGGCAACAGCACCCUGGCAGGCCUGGGGGAGACAGACGUCCCGUCCCCCCAACCCCGAGGAGGGAACUGAGGUCCGGAGACCUCCCGGAGGAAGCCAUGCCACUCCUUGGUCCAUGGGCAGAAUUUGAAGCACCAAGUCUGGGGGCCUAAAGCCCAAGCUGUUUCCAUCGACUGUGUAAGUGUCUGGAGUUUCUAUUCGGAAUUCACUUGUUCCAAGCACAGUAAGUCCCCUGAACAUGAGCCUUAAGUUGCGAACUUUCAAAGAUGUGAACAUGCAUUCCGUCACCAUCAGGCACAAAUGAAAUUGCAGUGGGCCCCCUGCCUCCUGUUGCUGAUGCCCCUUCGGCUCUGCCAUCUCCCGCCUCCCCUGUCUCCUCUUGCCCGUUCACCCAGUGCCAGCCCCUGGAUGCCAGCUGCUUUGCUGUACUACUGUACUUUGCAAGGUACUGUACUCUAAGAUGAAAAAUGUUCAUUUUUGUGUUUGUUUCUUAUGUAUGACUUAUGCAAAAAGUAUUGUAAACUUAAUACAGUACAGUAUUAUACAGCCGAUUAUGUUAGUUGGGUACCUAAGCUAACUUGGUUGGAUUUAAGAACAAACUGAACUCAUGAAACAGAACUUGUUUGUAUGUAUGGGAUGCACUGUGUAUCCCUGAAAAGAAAUUACUAGACUCGUAGUUUUCUUUUCCUUUAAGUAUGCAUUCCCUCACCAUUAUUUAUUUGGGCUUACUGUGCACGGGACACUGAGGUUGUAGUGCUUACCAAGGUAGAAAGCCUGGAACUGCAUUUCAUGUGAGGAGAGACAGGGAUCGUGUCUAAGUGACAGCCCCUCAGACAGUGGCCUGGACCUCAGGCACUACGCUCACGCUGGUGCCUGUGUGUGUUACCCACAACGUGAACUGCCUUUGUGUGGAGGCUGUUGUGAGAAUGUUGGGAUUAUGAGGGUGUCAGAAAGGCAUCAGUACAGGCCACGCAGCCAGCCGACUCCCGAGUGUGCCUAUUUGUGUUCAGGGUGGGGUGAGGGGGGUCUGGCCAGAUUCCUCGGGUUUCUUGGCAUCUCAUCCAAGAGCUACAUUUUUCUGUUUUAUAAGACCGAGUAUUGUCUUCAGACCGGUGGGACUUUCAAGGUCAUAUAUGAGAAGUGUCAGGUACACUCCGUGAAGACGGGGAUUUACAGAAGUUUGUGCGUGUCAUGGCUUUGUUCCCCCCACCCCCCCUUUCGAAAUUACUGCCGGCUCUAUAAGAGUCAAGAACUCAAACUUGCAUGAACUCUGCAACACCUCUCCAAAUUCAACAAAACUGACAUUUAUAGCUUUGUUGAAGCGGAGACAUGGCAUUUGGC